UACGUAGGGUGCAAGCGUUAAUCGGAAUUACUGGGCGUAAAGCGUGCGCAGGCGGUGAUGUACGACAGUUGUGAAAUCCCCGGGCUCAACCUGGGAACUGCAUCUGUGACUGCAUCGCUGGAGUGCGGCAGAGGGGGAUGGAAUUCCGCGUGUAGCAGUGAAAUGCGUAGAUAUGCGGAGGAACACCGAUGGCGAAGGCAAUCCCCUGGGCCUGCACUGACGCUCAUGCACGAAAGCGUGGGGAGCAAACAGG
rnacentral:rRNA from 1 species